CUAGCAGAGGCCACUCACACACACACUAUCUGCCUAGCAGAGGCUUGGAUCCCAGAGAGUUCCCCUGUCUUCUGUCUGGUACACUUGGAGGGAAGAUCGCCUGAGCUGGUAUGUUGGCUUGGCAGCUGGCACUACACAUACACACCAGAGGAAGCAGGUGAAGAGGACCAAAUGUCCCUGCGCCCUGGUCAUUCUGAGGACACUAGAGGCCAGCCUGAUUUAAGAGACUAAUAUAUGCAUGGCCCUUCAUUCUCAAAGCUGCUGAGGACUCUGCAUGGCCUUCUCACAUCCAGACCUCAAGUCCAGGCAUGAAGGUUGAGCAGGGGGCCACUGGGAGUGUCCCAGCGGCUGGAAGGCACCUCCAGCUGCAGAUUCAUCGAUGCUGGGCAUAACCUGGUUAAUCUCCCAUCCCAUCCAUUCCAGGG
rnacentral:lncRNA from 1 species